CAAAGCAAGCAGAAGCGCCCGCUUCUCACCUGAUUGACGCGUAAGCAGUUUACAGGUAUGAACAGUUUCAUUUCUAUGAAUGGACGAAGUGUGGGCGUAGUGCGCCUACACUUUUUUUGUACU
rfam:Bacillus okhensis strain Kh10-101 contig05, whole genome shotgun sequence.